GACGGGGGGUGCAAGCGUUAUCCGGAAUCACUGGGUGUAAAGCGUCUGUAGGUGGUGAUGCAAGUCACUGGUGCAAAACUCUGGCUCAACCGGAGGAAAGCCAGUGAAACUGCAUGACUAGAGUGUGGGAGAGGUCGAAGGAAUUCCCUGAGUAGCGGUGAAAUGCGUAGAUACAGGGAAGAACACCGGAGGCGAAAGCGUUCUACUGGGACACAACUGACACUGAGAGACGAAAGCUAGGGGAGCGAAUGGG
rnacentral:rRNA from 1 species